GGGAGGUAGUGACAAUAAAUAACAAUACGGGGUUCUUUAGGAUUUCGUAAUUGGAAUGAGUACAAUUUAAAUCUCUUAACGAGGAACAAUUGGAGGGCAAGUCUGGUGCCAGCAGCCGCGGUAAUUCCAGCUCCAAUAGCGUAUAUUAAAGUUGUUGCAGUUAAAAAGCUCGUAGUUGAAUUUCGGGAUCAAUUUAUCGGUCGUGCCUCUGGUAUGCACUGGUAUUAUUGAUUUCUACCUUCUGACGAACCAUCAUGUCAUUCAUUUGGUGUGGCGGGGAAUCAGGACUGUUACUUUGAAAAAUUAGAGUGUUUAAAGCAGGCUCGCGCUUGAAUACAUUAGCAUGGAAUAAUGAAAUAGGACGUUGAUCCUAUUUUGUUGGUUUCUAGGAUUGACGUAAUGAUUAAUAGGGAUAGUUGGG
rnacentral:rRNA from 1 species